rnacentral:rRNA from 2 species
UAACAAGGUUUCUGUAGGUGAACCUGCGGAAGGAUCAUUG